AUUAGGGUUGCCGCGGUAUACGGUAUUACCGGUGUUGAGGCCAACACCGAUUACUCGGUGUUGCACACCGGCAACACCGAGUUUCUUUUUUUUGUUUUUUUUUCAGUAAUAAAAAACUAAUUCAGUAAAAAUGAAUAAUACGAUUAUAAUUAAGAAAAUUAAAAUGUGUAGAAUAGGCUACAGUUCUGCUCUGUGCGGGAGAAUUGUCACGCCGAGAAUUGACGUGCUUCCUUACAAGACCGGUAACCAUAGCAACGCCGGUAAACAAAACCCGCGAUGCCCAAUCCCUACAUGAGCUCCCCGCGCUACGGCCAUCCGGAGGCGCACAGAGCUUUUGGCCGUGAUAUUAUGAUAUAUACAAUUAUAUUAUACUAUUAUAUAUAGAACGUUAUAAGACGCCGAGAAUUGGCGCGCUGUCAGCCGCUGUCACCGAGUGUGAGAGGAGAGUUGACGGAGAAGAUGGCGGUUGACCUAUAGUUUCAAAGUUAAUACCGUUUAUACCGGUAAUACCGGUGUUGACACGAGCGUAUUACUCGGUGUGAAAAUGUCCACACCGCGGCAACCCUAACAUCAAUCCCUGUUCCCACGUGACACCAUGCAGCAAAUAUUUCUGAACAUUACAGGGAAAGACUGCAUGUGUGAAAGAUACAGGUUGGAUCCCCAAUGGCUGAGUCUAGCUGUAGGCACCCUUAAGGAAAGUGCCAAGGGCUCUUUGCGUCCAAAUGGUUUAUUUUUGCGACCAAAAUUUGAGAGUGUGCGACUGUAUUUGACAUCUGGUCGCGCAUGUGUGACCAGUAAAUUUGCCCUCUUUUUUUUUUCUUCACACGUUAAACAAGGAAGGGCCGUGUCAACGAAUCCGGAAUCUGUAGCAGGGCAAUGAGUGUGAUAAGGAUAGGGAAUGGCCACCGUCAGUGGCUAAUGUGUGGAGGGGGAGGGUCCUAGAUACUAUUGAGCGCGUGUAAAUGUCUCUGAGAAGGAGACGAUUUCACAACCUGCUACGUGCGACCGUUUGAACCAUGAGCAAGCAAACAAUUUUUUUUCUGUUUUGGAAAUCUGCCCCAUAUGACAUCACAGGUGGGCGUGUCCACCUAGAGCAAACAUUGCUCAUCUAUCCGUUACACAUCUAGAUGGACACGUCCACCUGUGAUGUCAUAAGGGGCAGAUUUCCAAAAUGGCUUGUAACGGCUAAUCACACCGCACCUGGUGGCAUGCCAUGGGACCUUUAAAAACCCAUCCGACCCGUGUUCCGACAGUAGCAAAAAUGACAUUCCGCACCCGACCCGCUAUAAAUUGAUAUCGACACCCGACCCGCACCCGAUGGAAAAUUAGAGACGUUAGAUGGAACGCUAGGGAAUUACACUAUCUGGUGUUUGGCGUGGUACUUUAGAUUGCUGUGCAAAAAAGGGACAUCAUCCACUGUUGACGGUUUUAGUUGACUCCUCCGCUCCUGAAUAACAUAUCCAGGACUGGAGAAGUCAAAAAAAAUAAUAAUUGCAAAACCCGCGACCGACCCGCACUGUUCAGGCGUCCGCACCCGACAUAGUACAUUAUUUUUCACCCGUUUCAUCCCGCGGGUACCCGAACCCAUGCAGGAUGCUGCUUCAGGUGCCAUAAAGGGCUUUUCCCAAGGGAGGCGUUUGUCGCGCUUGCUAAUGCAUUCUUAAUGGAGAGGCGAGUGGGCAGAGAGGAGUCGCAGCAUACUGUCAAGUCACAUGCCACGACAAACGGGAGCACUCCCGUGAAACUGUCGCUUCCAUGCUCGUCGAACGCAUGCGCGCACACGUGGAAACCGUUGGGAGAGAUGAGAAUCACAAUAAAAUGCGACACUGAAUUUGAAAAAGCACAUUUAAAUUUGACCCUUACAUUUUCGGUUAGGGGCCAAAUUGCUCCGAGUCAAUAAAGUUAGUCUGGACUGGAGCCCUUGGUGCCACAAAAUGUUAUCCCCAUGGCUACGACCUAACAAUGAUACUUUUCAGUACCGACAUUAUGUAGGAAGGUCCUUGACCAGGCCCGCCGCUCCCUAUACGCAGAGUGCGUAGGGCACUAAGUACCUGAGGGGGCACCAAAAAUUAAGGGCACCGAAACGGCCAGAAGCGGCCCUGUCCUUGACUAUCCACAUCAACCGCUGGCCAGAUUGCGCUCCAUACAUCCCACUGUGAAGGACUCGCUCAAACACUCCUCAUAAAGUCACAGCAUGUUGUCUUGUUCUGUUCACUUGUAUGGAUCCUCAUGUGGUUCUUGUAUAAAGUGUGUUCUGUUCACCUGUAUGGAUCCUCAUGUGGUUCUUGUAUAAAGUGUGUUCUGUUCACCUGUAUGGAUCCUCAUGUGGUUCUUGUAUAAAGUGUGUUCUGUUCACCUGUA